UACGGAGGGUGCAAGCGUUAAUCGGAAUUACUGGGCGUAAAGCGUAUGUAGGCGGUUUGAUCAGUCGGAUGUGAAAUCCCCGAGCUUAACUUGGGAAUGGCAUUCGAAACUAUCAAGCUAGAGUAGGCUAGAGGAAAGGGGAAUUCCGCGUGUAGCAGUGAAAUGCGUAGAUAUGCGGAGGAACACCAAUGGCGAAGGCACCUUUCUGGGGUCAUACUGACGCUGAGAUACGAAAGCGUGGGGAGCAAACAGGAUUAGAUACCCUGGUAGUCCACGCCCUAAACGAUGUCAACUAGUUGUUGGGAGGGUUUAACCUUUCGGUGACGAAGCUAACGUAUUAAGUUGACCGCCUGGGGAGUACGGCCGCAAGGUUGAA
rnacentral:rRNA from 1 species